rnacentral:lncRNA from 1 species
UGAGGCUGUCUUUCAGCAGACAUCGUUCCAUUUCACCGAGCCUUACAGGCUUACAAUACAAACUUGAACAGUCAGGAUGUUUCACUGCAAAUCUUUACAGAAGUGCUCUUCGACUGAUAGUCAUUGUGGAGGAAAAGAAACAAAUGCUGAACUAGGAGGCAACUUGGGGUUUUAAUAUGUUCCUUAAGUUUGCAUCCUCCCACCUUCCCUGGAUGAAAACCACUGGUGAUGUGAUUUAAUUCUUUUGGCUGGAUAGACAUUUUCUAGCUAAGAUCUCCAGGGAAAAGUUUGAGGGAUCACGAGAGAUGGAUGAAUCAUGAGGAAGGGGAUCUACAUAUUUCUGACCAGCUCAGAGUAAGGGGUCCAUCUUCUCCAGACUGGCUUGGAUUGCAAGAAGCUGCAUCUUCCUACAGAACUAUUGUGAUAAAAAUGUGAAACAACACGGGGUCCCAGUUCAGACCUGAAUGAGGUACCAAAGGUGAUUUUUGCACCACUGAUGCUCACUCUCCAGCACCAUACUGCAACCAGAUGCCCCAUUCACUUGACGAGGUGUGCUGCCAACAGGACUGGCAUUUUUGCUAUUGACCAACAUUAGCUGGCAUGGUUACAAGAGUCUGGACAGCCAGUUAAUCCUUAAAGAUAUGUCUUCUUUGAUUGUGUGCUAUAACAUUAUUCUUGCAAGUACUAUUUUCUAAAGGACUUCUGAAGCAAUAGAAAAAGCCGUAAAUUGCUUUCCAUUGCUAGGAAAAGUCAUGUGUCUGUUUAAGUAUACAAGCAUCUUCAGAGGGUUAUUUGUGAUUGCAACAUUUUCAGACUCAAUAGAGUCACAUAAUAAAGCAAACCCUUUCUAAGCAUUUGAGUGUCCUUUCUCUGCUGUUUGAAGCACACAGAUGAAGAUAAAGAUACACUGGGGAGGAAAACAUAUUUCUCCCAGAGAAGAAGAACAGGGUAUGUGAAGUGUUAAAAAACUCA